rnacentral:rRNA from 1 species
AGAGUUUGAUCCUGGCUCAGGACGAACGCUGGCGGCACGCCUAACACAUGCAAGUCGAACGGAGAUGAUUUGAGUUUACUUAGAUCAUCUUAGUGGCGGACGGGGGAGUAACACGUGAGCAACCUGCCUUUGAGAGAGGGAUAGCUUCUGGAAACGGAUGGUAAUACCUCAUAACAUACAGAUACCGCAUGGUGACUGUAUCAAAGAUUUAUCACUCAAAGAUGGGCUCGCGUCUGAUUAGAUAGUUGGUGAGGUAACGGCUCACCAAGUCGACGAUCAGUAGCCGGACUGAGAGGUUGAACGGCCACAUUGGGACUGAGACACGGCCCAGACUCCUACGGGAGGCAGCAGUGGGGAAUAUUGCACAAUGGGGGAAACCCUGAUGCAGCGAUGCCGCGUGGAGGAAGAAGGUUUUCGGAUUGUAAACUCCUGUCUUAAAGGACGAUAAUGACGGUACUUUAGGAGGAAGCUCCGGCUAACUACGUGCCAGCAGCCGCGGUAAUACGUAGGGAGCGAGCGUUGUCCGGAAUUACUGGGUGUAAAGGGAGCGUAGGCGGGACGGCAAGUCAGAUGUGAAAUACAUGGGCUCAACCCAUGGGCUGCAUUUGAAACUGCUGUUCUUGAGUGAAGUAGAGGUAAGCGGAAUUCCUGGUGUAGCGGUGAAAUGCGUAGAUAUCAGGAGGAACACCGGUGGCGAAGGCGGCUUACUGGGCUUUUACUGACGCUGAGGCUCGAAAGCGUGGGGAGCAAACAGGAUUAGAUACCCUGGUAGUCCGCACGGUAAACGAUGGAUGCCCGCUGUUGGUCUGAACAGGUCAGCGGCCAAGCGAAAGCAUUAAGCAUCCCACCUGGGGAGUACGCCGGCAACGGUGAAACUCAAAGGAAUUGACGGGGGCCCGCACAAGCGGAGGAACAUGUGGUUUAAUUCGAUGAUACGCGAGGAACCUUACCCGGGCUUGAAUUGCAGAGGAAGGAUUUGGAGACAAUGACGCCCUUCGGGGUCUCUGUGAAGGUGCUGCAUGGUUGUCGUCAGCUCGUGCCGUGAGGCGUCGGCUUAAGUGCCAUAACGAGCGCAACCCCUCUCCUUAGUUGCCAUCAGGUUAAGCUGGGCACUCUGGGGACACUGCCACCGUAAGGUGUGAGGAAGGUGGGGAUGACGUCAAAUCAGCACGGCCCUUACGUCCGGGGCUACACACGUGUUACAAUGGCAGGUACAGAGAGACGGUUGUACGUAAGUACGAUCAAAUCCUUAAAGCCUGUCUCAGUUCGGACUGGGGUCUGCAACCCGACCCCACGAAGCUGGAUUCGCUAGUAAUCGCGCAUCAGCCAUGGCGCGGUGAAUACGUUCCCGGGCCUUGUACACACCGCCCGUCAAGCCAUGAAAGCCGGGGGCGCCUAAAGUCCGUGACCGUAAGGAGCGGCCUAGGGCGAAACUGGUAAUUGGGGCUAAGUCGUAACAAGGUA